GAAAUGCGAAAAGCAAUGCGAAUUGCAGAAUUCCGCGAGUCAUCAGAUCUUCGAACGCAUCUGGCGCCGAUCGGAUCUCCGGUUGGCAUGUUUGUUUCAGUGUGUUGUUAAGACUCACAUAUCUUAAUGUGAUUGACUGUGAUGCCAGAGCGAAAGUUCUGUCAUUCAGUCUCUCAUGAAAGAAGCGCUGUGCGAACCGCACUGAUGCAGUAGUCAGUCCUUGCGAUUGAUACUCAUUGGUACGGGUCCGAUACUACAGUGUCAAAUCCAAUCAUCACACACGCAUCUGAGACAAGCAAGAUAACCCGCUGAACUUAA
rnacentral:misc_RNA from 1 species